ensembl:lncRNA
GUAAAUGUGACGUCUGAUGUGCCUUCGGGACCUAUUGUUUGCGUGGUGGACCGGGGAUUUUUUUUUAACAUUGUUGUGCGAGUGACUGCUAAACAUUCAGUGACGUUAAUGUCACCUGUGUUGUUUCCCUUUUCCCUCGAAACUGAAUUUCACCAAAAUAAUGGCGAAUUCCGCUGCAUUCCGCUGCAUAUUGUAAAUGUGACGUCUGAUGUGCCUUGUCCCUGUUGCAUGUUAUAUGUGCUGAAGAACAGGAACCUGCUGGAAAUCAGUUAUUUUACUAAGACAGGCCCGUUUUAAAUUGUAACUUUGUUACUUUUAAUACUUUCCUGCUUAAUAAAAUAAUUAAAAAAAAAAAAAAAAAUUAUCAGUUGAU